CUAUCCUGAAGUCUUUUGUAACUAUUGCAAAUAUGACUUAUACCAUCGAUAUCCUAUACCCAAGUAGUAGUAUUAUCAAUAAAAAAAUUUCAAGGAGUUAUCAUAUAACUAUUUUGACCAGCAAUCAUUUGCUGAUUUCUUUUUUAGACCUGUUUGGGUCAAAAAAAUCAAACAUUGAGGAUAAUUCCUUUUCUAAUGAUCC
rnacentral:lncRNA from 1 species